UACGUAGGUGGCAAGCGUUGUCCGGAAUUAUUGGGCGUAAAGCGCGCGCAGGCGGUCCUUUAAGUCUGAUGUGAAAGCCCACGGCUCAACCGUGGAGGGUCAUUGGAAACUGGGGGACUUGAGUGUAGGAGAGAAGAGUGGAAUUCCACGUGUAGCGGUGAAAUGCGUAGAGAUGUGGAGGAACACCAGUGGCGAAGGCGGUGCUCUGGGCCGGAACUGACGCUGAGGAGCGAAAGCGUGGGGAGCAAACAGG
rnacentral:rRNA from 1 species